rnacentral:rRNA from 1 species
GCGAACGCUGGCGGCGUGCUUAACACAUGCAAGUCGAACGAGACCUUCGGGUCUAGUGGCGCACGGGUGAGUAACACGUGGGAAUAUACCUCUCAGUGGGGGAUAACGUCGGGAAACUGACGCUAAUACCGCAUACGCCCUUCGGGGGAAAGAUUUAUCGCUGAGAGAUUAGCCCGCGUCCGAUUAGCUAGUUGGUAAGGUAAUGGCUUACCAAGGCUACGAUCGGUAGCUGGUCUGAGAGGAUGAUCAGCCACACUGGGACUGAGACACGGCCCAGACUCCUACGGGAGGCAGCAGUGGGGAAUAUUGGACAAUGGGGGCAACCCUGAUCCAGCCAUGCCGCGUGAGUGAUGAAGGCCUUAGGGUUGUAAAGCUCUUUCGACGGGGACGAUGAUGACGGUACCCGUAGAAGAAGCCCCGGCUAACUUCGU